GAUGAAGAACGUAGCGAAAUGCGAUACUUGGUGUGAAUUGCAGAAUCCCGUGAACCAUCGAGUCUUUGAACGCAAGUUGCGCCCGAAGCCAUUAGGCCGAGGGCACGCCUGCCUGGGCGUCACACGUCGUUGCCCCCCCAUCUACUCCUUCGGGAUUGCGAGGGGCGGAUGAUGGCCUCCCGUGCGCCUCGUCGCGCGGUUGGCAUAAAUGCCAAGUCCUCGGCGACGCACGCCACGACAAUCGGUGGUUGCGAAACCGCGGUUGCCCGUCGUGUGCGGUCGUCGCGCAUCGAGGGCUCGAAAAAAUUGCCGGGCUCCGGCUCGGCUUUCAACGCGACCCCAGGUCAGGCGGGGUUACCCGCUGAAUUUAAGCAUAUCAAUAAGCGGAGGA
rnacentral:misc_RNA from 1 species